AGUUAAUGAACUUGUAAAGUAUAUGUUUUGAAAAUAUAAAAAAGUAAUUCGAAUUUACUAUUAACUU
rnacentral:tRNA from 2 species